CUUGAAUGAAUAAGCCACGGCUAAUUCGUGCAGCAGCCGCGGUAAUACGGAGUGGCAAGCGUUAUCGAAUAUGGGCGUAAGCGUCCGCAGGCCGCCCUCAAGUCUGCUGUUAAAAAGUGGAGCUUAACUCCAUCAUGGCAGUGGAAACUGUUGGGCUUGAGUGUGGUAGGGGCAGAGGGAAUUCCCGGUGUAGCGGUGAAAUGCGUAGAUAUCGGGAAGAACACCAGUGGCGAAGGCGCUCUGCUGGGCCAUCACUGACGCUCAUGGACGAAAGCCAGGGGAGCGAAAGGGAUUAGAUACCCCUGUAGUCCUGGCCGUAAACGAUGAACACUAGGUGUCGGGGGAAUCGACCCCCUCGGUGUCGUAGCCAACGCGUUAAGUGUUCCGCCUGGGGAGUACGCACGCAAGUGUGAAACUCAAAGGAAUUGACGGGGGCCCGCACAAGCGGUGGAGUAUGUGGUUUAAUUCGAUGCAACGCGAAGAACCUUACCAGGGUUUGACAUCCUGCGAAUCUCUUGGAAACAGGAGAGUGCCUUCGGGAACGCAGUGACAGGUGGUGCAUGGCUGUCGUCAGCUCGUGUCGUGAGAUGUUGGGUUAAGUCCCGCAACGAGCGCAACCCACGUCUUUAGUUGCCAGCAUUUAGUUGGGCACUCUAGAGAGACUGCCGGUGAUAAACCGGAGGAAGGUGUGGAUGACGUCAAGUCAUCAUGCCCCUUACAUCCUGGGCUACACACGUACUACAAUGCUACGGACAAAGGGCAGCAAGUUCGCGAGGACAAGCAAAUCCCAUAAACCGUGGCUCAGUUCAGAUCGUAGGCUGCAACUCGCCUACGUGAAGGCGGAAUCGCUAGUAAUCGCAGGUCAGCAUACUGCGGUGAAUACGUUCCCGGGCCUUGUACACACCGCCCGUCACACCAUGGAAGUUGGCCACGCCCGAAGCCGUUACUCCAACCCUUGUGGAGGAGGAC
rnacentral:rRNA from 1 species